GAUGAACGCUAGCGGCAGGCUUAACACAUGCAAGUCGAGGGGUAUUGGUUUUCGGACCAAGAGACCGGCGCACGGGUGCGUAACGCGUAUGCAAUCUACCUUUUGCAGAGGGAUAGCCCAGAGAAAUUUGGAUUAAUACCUCAUAGUAUAGUACUUUGGCAUCAAGGAACUAUUAAAGUCACAACGGCAAAAGAUGAGCAUGCGUCCAUUAGCUAGUUGGUAAGGUAACGGCUUACCAAGGCUACGAUGGGUAGGGGUUCUGAGAGGGAGAUCCCCCCANACUGGUACUGAGACACGGACCAGACUCCUACGGGAGGCAGCAGUGAGGAAUAUUGGACAAUGGGCGCAAGCCUGAUCCAGCCAUGCCGCGUGCAGGAAGAAGCAUCUAUGGUGUGUAAACUGCUUUUGUACGGGAAGAAACACUCCUAAC
rnacentral:rRNA from 1 species